AUUGAACGCUGGCGGCAUGCUUUACACAUGCAAGUCGAACGGUAACAGGGAGCUUGCUCCGCUGACGAGUGGCGAACGGGUGAGUAAUAUAUCGGAACGUACCCAAGAGUGGGGGAUAACGUAGCGAAAGUUACGCUAAUACCGCAUACGAUCUAUGGAUGAAAGCAGGGGAUCUUCGGACCUUGUGCUCCUGGAGCGGCCGAUAUCUGAUUAGCUAGUUGGUGAGGUAAAGGCUCACCAAGGCGACGAUCAGCAGCUGGUCUGAGAGGACGACCAGCCACACUGGAACUGAGACACGGUCCAGACUCCUACGGGAGGCAGCAGUGGGGAAUUUUGGACAAUGGGCGCAAGCCUGAUCCAGCAAUGCCGCGUGAGUGAAGAAGGCCUUCGGGUUGUAAAGCUCUUUUGUCAGGGAAGAAACGGGAGUGGCUAAUAUCCAUUCCUAAUGACGGUACCUGAAGAAUAAGCACCGGCUAACUACGUGCCAGCAGCCGCCGUAA
rnacentral:rRNA from 1 species